UACGAAGGGGGCUAGCGUUGCUCGGAAUCACUGGGCGUAAAGGGUGCGUAGGCGGGUCUUUAAGUCAGGGGUGAAAUCCUGGAGCUCAACUCCAGAACUGCCUUUGAUACUGAGGAUCUUGAGUUCGGGAGAGGUGAGUGGAACUGCGAGUGUCGAGGUGAAAUUCGUAGAUAUUCGCAAGAACACCAGUGGCGAAGGCGGCUCACUGGCCCGAUACUGACGCUGAGGCACGAAAGCGUGGGGAGCAAACAGG
rnacentral:rRNA from 1 species